CACUGACGACGCGGGAUUCGAAUCCGUGGCUCCGUGCGUCUGGAGUGAAAUCGUUAUUACAGCGAGAGGUAGGAGUACUCCAUGUACCGCGGAGUUUAAAACGAAUGAUGAAUCAUGAUGACCUUCCAGCUGACUGUCCGUGUCCGGGCGAGUUUUUGAUUUGGUCGUCUUGUUUACCGUCGCUAGUAAUUACUGUUGGUCAGACGUACUGUAGUUCAUUUAGGUCGUGGGUCACUUUAAUACACCGGCGCUAAGCUCACGGUAUGUACUAACUCCGUCCCAAAAUAAAUACAGCGAUAUCCGUGUCCAACGUUUGACUGUCCGUCUUAUUUAAAAUAUUUGUGAAAAAUUUAAAAAAUAUUUAGUUACGCAUAAAGUACUAUUUAUGUUUUAUCAUCUAAUAGCAAUAAAAAUAAUAAUCAUAAAAAAUUUUCAAAUAAGACGAACGGUCAAACAUUGAACGUGAACAGUGUAAAACUAUAUUUAUUUUGGGACGGAGGGAGUGCAUGCUAUUAACAUGCAUGAGGGAAUUACCCACACUGUCAUGUCGUUUCAUUCUAGCCGGGGUUUGUUAACAUGGCGCCAUCAUCCAACUUAUAGCUAUUAGUUCAACCAUAUAUCUGUGCAAACCAAACUUUGUCUCCAUAGCAUUGCUAAUUGCUCCUACUCAUUAGGCCUCAAUCAAUGUUUAGACCUACAUGUCUAAAGAAACAAACACCGAUUGAUAAGGGCUAUUUGGUUCGCAGCUACUUGUUCCAGUUU
rnacentral:sRNA from 1 species